UUACGGUUUUAUUUAUUUAAUGUGUACUGUAUAUUUAUGGUUAAAAAGCAUACUUCGUAUUUUAAAGUGCAUUCCAUUUGAACGGGGAGGCGGGAAUUUCCCACUUUGCUAGCGACGUCACCCACUCAGGGUAACGUAUUUGGUGGAAGCUGAAGUGAGUGAGCGUGCUAUUGCUCUUUCGUAUUUUGGGUUGUCCAUGGGUUAUAGUUAGUGUCUAUACUGGAGGCUACGGAGCUAUUGUAAGUUUGUUUGUGUUUUUUCCCCCCGCAUCGUCAUAGAUAUAUACAUGUGGAUGUCCCCUCUGACGCUGUUGUCCGGAACAAUGCGUUGAAGCGGCCGCCAUCUUGGGCCGGGGGCUGUGCAGGCCAGUGUAAAGACAAAGAACGUGUAAGCUCAGAUGAAUUGCCUAGUGCACCAAAGAUCCUUCAUGUGUUUGGCCCAGAUCACAGAGGGAAUGAUUCUGAGGAUGAAGCUGUCUUACCAACAAGAAAACAAGUGCACCAUACUGGAGCUGGACCAGAGAGGCCAAGCGUCCCGUAGCCUGCACCAGGGAAGGAUUUCAUCGACUGACCUGCACCAGAGAAAGACUGUUUCCUCUGAGGCACAUCAGUUGAUAAGAAGACCACAAACCAGUCUUCAUAUAUCACACCUAGGCCUACCACAUCCAAGGGUUGAAAUCUGUAACUGAAGAAGAGGUGUUGGACCAAAUCUGCUACCAUUAGCUGAUCGCCAGUCUGUCCAAAACAUGGAGGAGCGGCUCAGAAAUAGUGCUGACCUCAAAAACCAUCUGAGAACUGCACUGGCUCUUAAAGGAGGGGGAGACGUUAAAGAGUGUAAAGAGUGUCAUGGGUGCAACCUUAACACUCUCUCGCCAAGAAUGUCAACAUGCGCGGUAUAAAUGGCAAGAUUGGCUUCCAGCACCAGCAAAUAAAGGAUGUUGUAAUUGGUAAGUUUGUCUUAACAAACACUGACUCCCUCAGAGACCAUGCAUUUUUUUAUUUAUUUGUUAUGGCUAGAUUUAAACUGUAGGUCUGGAUGCACAGCUCUGAAUUUUUUCUCUCUUCUUUUUUUAGAAGUCCACGGUGGGAAUGAUGGACUGCACAGACAGCACUGCUUCAUUUGGACUUCUGUGCCCUUUGUUAAUUUUUUACUAAGACUUUAACCUCCCUGAUUUUAUUUGUUUUCCUUUUGUUAUCCUUAAGCUCACAUUCUUUUAAUGUAUUUCAAUUAUUGAUCUUAUAAUUUUAUUGGGUUGAAAGCAUAAAAUUUUUUUCCAUCCCCACUUAAUGUUGUUUCCCUCUGUUGUUCG